UGGGGAAUUUUGGACAAUGGGCGCAAGCCUGAUCCAGCAAUGCCGCGUGAGUGAAGAAGGCCUUCGGGUUGUAAAGCUCUUUUGUCAGGGAAGAAACGGUGUUCUCUAAUACAGAGCGCUAAUGACGGUACCUGAAGAAUAAGCACCGGCUAACUACGUGCCAGCAGCCGCGGUAUACGUAGGGUGCAAGCGUUAAUCGGAGUUACUGGGCGUAAAGCGUGCGCAGGCGGUUUUGUAAGACUGUCGUGAAAUCCCCGGGCUCAACCUGGGAAUGGCGAUGGUGACUGCAAGGCUAGAGUUUGGCAGAGGGGGGUAGAAUUCCACGCGUAGCAGUGAAAUGCGUAGAUAUGUGGAGGAACACCGAUGGCGAAGGCAGCCCCCUGGG
rnacentral:rRNA from 1 species